rnacentral:rRNA from 1 species
UACGGACUGUGCAAACGUUAUUCGGAAUCACUGGGCUUAAAGAGUCCGUAGGCGGCCUGUUAGGUGAGGUGUGAAAUCCCCCGGCUCAACCGAGGAAUUGCGCUUCAAACCGGCGUGCUUGAGGAAGAUAGAGGUGGGCGGAACUGAUGGUGGAGCGGUGAAAUGCGUUGAUAUCAUCAGGAACACCGGAGGCGAAGGCGGCCCACUGGGUCUUUUCUGACGCUGAGGGACGAAAGCUAGGGGAGCGAACGGG